AUGAUACAGUUCUUGUGUAGCUUGAUGGUCAGAAUACACCAAAGCAAUCAAAUAUCCUACCAGCCUAGAGUGUACUAUGAACUACUAACAUGGCACUUUAAGCCUGCAUCUCUUCACAUACUUGCACCUUCCUCUCAAAUGGUUUUCUAUCAAAACCCCAGAUUAACCGAGUCAAAUUAACACUACCAACAAAUAAUCUUACCCAAAGCCAACAGACAUAAAAGUCCCUUCUAGUCAUUAAAUGAAGCUGAUAGUGCUACAGCAGGGCAGUUGAUAAUGUCCAACAAAAUUUAUAUGGCAAUUGUGGCAUUACAUUAUCAAGAGAACUAAUUGAAAACUCACCCCUAAGAAACACAAAUCUCAAAGGAGUAACUUCCAAUUAUUCCUGUCAGUAAUAAAAAAUAUAGACGUACCCUUGCAACAGCCAUUUUUGCACUUACAAAGAAGGUCCUCUCCCUCCUAGCUCUUAAUGCCAUCAAUAGCAUUUUUAUCCCUAAAUAUACAAUGGAACCAUUUGAUUGAUCUUCACUGAAAUCAGAUUACUUUUUCCUCAGUGUCAAUUGUGACAAGACCAACUGGCUGAAAACAGAAUGGCCAUACUAGCAAAUUAAAACAAAUCCACAAAGAAAAGAGACUGGUUUUGCCUAGCAUCUGAUGACAAUUUGGUCAUUGCUUAUAACUAGAACUGCC
rnacentral:misc_RNA from 1 species